rnacentral:rRNA from 1 species
GACGAACGCUGGCGGCGUGCCUAAUACAUGCAAGUCGAGCGCAGGAAAUCGACGGAACCCUUCGGGGGGAAGUCGACGGAAUGAGCGGCGGACGGGUGAGUAACACGUAAAGAACCUGCCCUCAGGUCUGGGAUAACCACGAGAAAUCGGGGCUAAUACCGGAUGGGUCAUCGGACCGCAUGGUCCGAGGAUGAAAGGCGCUUCGGCGUCGCCUGGGGAUGGCUUUGCGGUGCAUUAGCUAGUUGGUGGGGUAAUGGCCCACCAAGGCGACGAUGCAUAGCCGACCUGAGAGGGUAAGCGGCCACACUGGGACUGAGACACGGCCCAGACUCCUACGGGAGGCAGCAGUAGGGAAUCUUCCACAAUGGACGAAAGUCUGAUGGAGCAACGCCGCGUGAACGAUGAAGGCCUUCGGGUCGUAAAGUUCUGUUGUAAGGGAAGAACAAGUGCCGCAGGCAAUGGCGGCACCUUGACGGUACCUUGCGAGAAAGCCACGGCUAACUACGUGCCAGCAGCCGCCGUAA